rnacentral:piRNA from 1 species
UGAGAAACUUGGUGGCACAUGGGUGU